GACGAACGCUGGCGGCGUGCCUAAUACAUGCAAGUAGAACGCUGAAGGAGGAGCUUGCUUCUCUGGAUGAGUUGCGAACGGGUGAGUAACGCGUAGGUAACCUGCCUGGUAGCGGGGGAUAACUAUUGGAAACGAUAGCUAAUACCGCAUAACAGUAGAUAUCGCAUGAUAUCUACUUGAAAGGUGCAAUUGCAUCACUACCAGAUGGACCUGCGUUGUAUUAGCUAGUUGGUGAGGUAACGGCUCACCAAGGCGACGAUACAUAGCCGGCCUGAGAGGGUGAUCGGCCACACUGGGACUGAGACACGGCCCAGACUCCUACGGGAGGCAGCAGUAGGGAAUCUUCGGCAAUGGACGGAAGUCUGACCGAGCAACGCCGCGUGAGUGAAGAAGGUUUUCGGAUCGUAAAGCUCUGUUGUAAGAGAAGAACGAGUGUGAGAGUGGAAAGUUCACACUGUGACGGUAUCUUACCAGAAAGGGACGGCUAACUACGUG
rnacentral:rRNA from 1 species